GGAGGAAUAUUGGGCAAUGGGGGAAACCCUGACCCAGCAACGCCGCGUGAAGGAAGAAGGCCUUCGGGUUGUAAACUUCUGUGACAGGGGACGAAAGAAAUGACGGUACCCUGAGAGGAAGCCACGGCAAACUACGUGCCAGCAGCCGCGGUAAUACGUAGGUGGCGAGCGUUGUCCGGAAUCACUGGGCGUAAAGGGCGCGUAGGCGGCUUGACAAGUCGCAGGUGAAGGACCAGGGCUCAACCCUGGGAGGUCAUGGGAAACUGUCUGGCUUGAGUGCAGUAGAGGUAAGCGGAAUGCCUGGUGUAGCGGUAAAAUGCGUAGAGAUCAGGAGGAACACCGGUGGCGAAGGCGGCUUACUGGGCUGCAACUGACGCUGAUGCGCGAAAGCGUGGGGAGCAAACA
rnacentral:rRNA from 1 species